CCCGAAUGGGACUUCCUGCGGCUUUGCCGCACUCCCGUCAGGGAGAGGGAACGCGGGGAAUUGAAACAUCUUAGUACCCGCAGGAAAAGAAAGCAAAA
rnacentral:rRNA from 1 species